UGUUUAUUUAUGUAUGCAUUGAAGCAAGGUUUAGCGUUUAUUUACAUAUCUACAAAACAGUACGCCUAUAUGUGCGCACUGUUUUGUAUUUCACUCAACAAUCACGUAACUAUGUCUAAUGUUUAUGUUAAUCGUUCAUAAACUAUGCUAUUAUCAAGCAUGGUGUAUAUUUGAAGAUUAUAUAAUAAAACGAGAGUUAAUGGUAGAAAAACAGUCUGCAAUAUUCACAUUGUGACAAGAAAAAUAUUCUACGAGUCAAAUAGCAUAAAAAUUCAAGAUAUCGAGUUCGAGAGUUUGGAAUGUUAUUAAAUAGAAGAAAGAAACUAGCAGUGUUGUUAAUCAAAACAAUCGGGACUUUUUUGAACCAUAUUUGCCGCCAAAGAUAGAACAAGUAAAAGAAAUAGAUUUUAACUGUUACAGAAUUACCCAAUAUUUUGAAUUAUUACCAAGGAGCUCCGCUAAAUGUGACAAGGAUGAAGAGGCGAGAUAUUAACAAAACUUAGUGAGAUAUUAACAAAACUUUUACGAGAAACCAAAAAAUACAUACCUAAGUUCAAUAAAGUGCAGCCGUGGCGCAGUGGUUAGAGCGUAAAGUAAAGUAAACUUUUAAAUUAUUUUGGGUUACAAUUGUUGUUUAUUGAGAUAACUGGUAUAGCAACGGUUGCUAAGUGGCAAUUUCGGAAGUACUUUUUGUAAUUUGAACUAAUUUAAUAAAACGAAUAUAUUUAGCCUGAUGACUAGUAUAACCAGUCAUAGAAUAAUUUGUUUUUUUUAUUCAUUAUUUACUUCAUUUGCAUUUUUUGAAAAAUUGAAAAAUUUACUUUUGUGCUCAUAGUUUGCUAAAAUUUUAAAGAUGUUGUUGACAAAACGCAUUGAAAUUUUUACAAGUAGUUAAGAAUGGGUAUGGCUACAAUGAACCUCAAUCAAACAUUAAAAUCUAGUAGAUUUUUUUUUUGAAUAAUUUUAGGGCAAAAAAUGUGAA